GCCGUUUGUCUUUGUCGGUCAUUGCAAAUGUUACUUGUUUUCCUGAGAGGAAUCUCGCCUACUAUUUCCUGAGUACUUUAUAUUAUGCACUUUGGGUUCGCCCUGUGCCUUUUUGUUUAUGAAGAUAUAUAUAUAUUUUUUCACCUUUAUUUAACCAGGUAGGCCAGUUGAGAACAAGUUCUCAUAUAAAACUGCAACCUGGCCAAGAUAAAGCAAAGCAGUGAGACAAAAAACAACAACACGGAGUUACACAUGGGAUAAACAGAAGUACAGUCAAUAACAAUAGAAAAAUCUAUAUACAGUGUGUGCAAAUGGAGUAAGGAGCCAGCGCUUUCAGCCAGCUAGGAACUGAAGACUCAACUGAUGGGGAUGCCGUGUCGUCGAACGUUGAAAGGGAUGCUAUUCCAUCGAGUUUACCCUUCACUUCAAAGAAGAAGGCAUCUGAUCAGCCAACAUCAGCGCAGCAGAAGAGAGGGCAAGCUGCGUUAAGAGUCCAAUCCCAUCAACAUUUGAAGAGGCUUCAACAUCAAGCUCAGCACCAGGAACUAGUGUAUGUCACCUACAAUCUACUAAAUCUUUCCAUGACGAGCAAAUGUAUAUACUGGAGCCAGGCAUAAACAUG